AUGUUCACGAACGCGCAGCGCCAGGUCGAGCGCACUGGCCGCGGCGGUACCCCGAGAGACCAGUACCUUCAGGAUCUUGUGACCCAGUUCCAGGACUCCACGGAUGAAGGGUACAAGGAGAGAAUUGUUGCAAACCUGUCAAAUUUUGCAUAUGACCCUUAUAACUAUGCCUUUAUGCGCCAGCUGAAUAUUCUCGAGUUGUUCUUGGACUGCAUUACGGAACCAAAUGAAAGGCUUGUUGAGUUCGGCGUUGGUGGAAUAUGUAAUUCAUGUGUUGAUCCAGCAAAUGCUUCUGUUAUUACUCAAUGUGGUGGAAUCCCGUUGGUUGUACAAUGCUUAUCUAGCCCAGUUAAGAAUACAGUGAAUUACGCACUUGGAGCCUUGUACUACUUAUGCAACCCGUCGACAAAGAAUGAGAUAUUGAAACCGGAUGUACUUAGGAUCAUAAGAGACUAUUCUGCAGCUGGAGCCGUCAACAGCAGCUUCAGCAAUCUGGCAAAUGCAUUUCUGGACAAGCACGUCAACUCGUGA
rnacentral:rRNA from 1 species